GGAGGGGAGAGCUCAGUGGUAGGGUGCAUGUCUAGCAUGCACGAGGUCCUGGGUUCAAUCCCCAGUGCCUCCA
rfam:Camelus ferus unplaced genomic scaffold scaffold1441, whole genome shotgun sequence.